UACGAAGGGGGCUAGCGUUGCUCGGAAUCACUGGGCGUAAAGGGUGCGUAGGCGGGUAUUUAAGUCAGUGGUGAAAUCUCCGGGCUCAACCCGGAAACUGCCAUUGAUACUAUUUAUCUUGAAUAUUGUGGAGGUAAGCGGAAUAUGUCAUGUAGCGGUGAAAUGCUUAGAUAUGACAUAGAACACCAAUUGCGAAGGCAGCUUACUACACAGUUAUUGACGCUGAGGCACGAAAGCGUGGGGAUCAAACAGG
rnacentral:rRNA from 1 species